UACAGAGGGUGCAAGCGUUAAUCGGAAUUACUGGGCGUAAAGCGAGCGUAGGCGGUUAUUUAAGUCGGGUGUGAAAGCCCCGGGCUCAACCUGGGAAUUGCAUUCGAUACUGGAUAGCUAGAGUUCGGCAGAGGGAAGCGGAAUUUCCGGUGUAGCGGUGAAAUGCGUAGAUAUCGGAAGGAACAUCAGUGGCGAAAGCGGCUUCCUGGACCAGAACUGACGAUCAGGCUCGAAAGCGUGGGGAGCAAACGGG
rnacentral:rRNA from 1 species